rnacentral:rRNA from 1 species
ACGUACAAGCAGUGGGAGCCCGAAAGGGUGACUGCGUACCUUUUGUAUAAUGGGUCAGCGACUUAUAUUUUGUAGCGAGGUUAACUGAAUAAGGGAGCCGAAGGGAAACCGAGUCUUAACUGGGCGGUGAGUUGCAAGGUAUAGACCCGAAACCCGGUGAUCUAGCCAUGGGCAGGUUGAAGGUUGGGUAACACUAACUGGAGGACCGAACCGACUAAUGUUGAAAAAUUAGCGGAUGACUUGUGGCUGGGGGUGA